AUCGAUGAAGAACGCAGCGAAAUGCGAUAAGUAAUGUGAAUUGCAGAAUUCAGUGAAUCAUCGAAUCUUUGAACGCACCUUGCGCUCCCUGGUAUUCCGGGGAGCAUGCCUGUUUGAGUGUCAUGGUAUUCUCAACCUUCAUAACUUUUGUUAUCGAAGGCUUGGAUUUGGAGGUUGUGCUGGCUUCUCGUCAAGUCGGCUCCUCUUAAAAGCAUUAGCGUGAGUGUAACGGAUCGCUUCGGUGUGAUAAUUAUCUGCGCCGUGGUCGUGAAGUAACAUAAGCUUGCGCUUCUAACCGUCCUUCGGCUGGACAAUUUACUCUGACAUCUGACCUCAAAUCAGGUAGGACUACCCGCUGAACUUAAGCAUAUCAAUAAGCGGAGGAAAAGAAACUAACAAGGAUUCCCCUAGUAACUGCGAGUGAAGCGGGAAAAGCUCAAAUUUAAAAUCUGAUAGUCUUUGGCUGUCCGAGUUGUAAUCUGGAGAAGCGUCUUCCGCGCUGGACCGUGUACAAGUCUCCUGGAACGGAGCGUCAUAGAGGGUGAGAAUCCCGUCUUUGACACGGACUACCAGUGCUUUGUGAUGCGCUCUCAAAGAGUCGAGUUGUUUGGGAAUGCAGCUCAAAAUGGGUGGUAAACUCCAUCUAAAGCUAAAUAUUGGCGAGAGACCGAUAGCGAACAAGUACCGUGAGGGAAAGAUGAAAAGCACUUUGGAAAGAGAGUUAAACAGUACGUGAAAUUGCUGAAAGGGAAACGCUUGAAGUCAGUCGCGUUUGCUAGGACUCAGCCUUGCCUCGGCUUGGUGCACUUCCUAGUAGACGGGCCAGCAUCACUUUUGGCUGCGGGAAAAAGGUCAGAGGAAUGUGGCACCUUCGGGUGUGUUAUAGCCUCUGGCUGCAUACCGUGGCUGGGAGUGAGGAUCUCAGCACGCCUUACGGCGGGGCUUCGGCCACCUUCGUGCUUAGGAUGCUGGCGUAAUGGCUUUAAACGACCCGUCUUGAAACACG
rnacentral:rRNA from 1 species